rnacentral:rRNA from 1 species
UUUAAUUGAAGAGUUUGAUCAUGGCUCAGAUUGAACGCUGGCGGCAGGCCUAACACAUGCAAGUCGAACGGUAACAGGGAGCAGCUUGCUGCUCUGCUGA